ACGAACGCUGGCGGCGUGCCUAAUACAUGCCAGUAGAACGCUGAAGGAGGAGCUUGCUUCUCCGGAUGAGUUGCGAACGGGUGAGUAACGCGUAGGUAACCUGCCUGGUAGCGGGGGAUAACUAUUGGAAACGAUAGCUAAUACCGCAUAAGAGUAGAUGUCGCAUGACAUUUGCUUAAAAGGUGCAACUGCACCACUACCAGAUGGACCUGCGUUGUAUUAGCUAGUUGGUGAGGUAACGGCUCACCAAGGCAACGAUACAUAGCCGACCUGAGAGGGUGCUCGGCCACACUGGGACUGAGACACGGCCCAGACUCCUACGGGAGGCAGCAGUAGGGAAUCUUCGGCAAUGGACGGAAGUCUGACCGAGCAACGCCGCGUGAGUGAAGAAGGUUUUCGGAUCGUAAAGCUCUGUUGUAAGAGAAGAACGAGUGUGAGAGUGGAAAGUUCACACUGUGACGGUAUCUUACCAGAAAGGGACGGCUAACUACGUG
rnacentral:rRNA from 1 species